AGGGUUCAAGAACACAUAUGGGAAGCACAAUGAGACUGGGGUGUUGCAAAAUGCUGUUUCAGACUCCUGAUUGUAUCACUGCAAAACUGUACCAUAAUUCAGAGUAUGUGGAUGAACGACAUCGGCAUAGAUACGAGGUGAAUCCAGAUAUGAUUGAC